CACUGCAUCCAUCUUGGAUAAUUUUUUUUUCAAGAAUACUAUAUGACGGCUCACAAUCAUAUUAUGAUCCUUAGGAAGAUAGAAGUAGUAUCCCAUAAUUUUCGUAGGAUACCCUAUAAAAUGAGUCCUAAAUGAUCUAGCCUCUAACUUGUCUGCCUACUGUCACUUGACAUGGAUCGGACAUCCUUAAAUCUUAAGA
rnacentral:lncRNA from 1 species